rnacentral:misc_RNA from 1 species
ACUCUUCAACCCACCAGUUUCUAGUGAACUGUUGUGGUGUUUGGAUUUUGAGCGUUGCUAGUCUGACUAGCUCGUUCGUAAUAUAUUAGCAUCUCUAAUUCGAAUUCGGAUUGACUCAGUGUAAUAGACUAUUCGCUGAGGACACUUUUAUUAGUGGCCGGACUAGAAACCAGUAGAAGCUUCCAACUAUUGUAGUCAUUUCUAU